GACAAAGUAACCAAAAGGAAGCAGCACCUUAGAGGAGUUUAGUUGCCUUUGUGAGGACAGACCAUAUAUGGGCGUAUUCCGGGGAUGACAUCAAGAAGCACAGGCAUGAAUGGACUUGCCUGCUUGGGUGAAUGACCUCUGUGCACAUGCAGGAUGAUGGAUCAGGCCAAUCCCCAACAGAUGUCUGUUUGCUGAGGUACUGUCCAGCAGGAGGAGCAGUCACACCCACAAACAUACACAACUGAGAGAAGUCCCUUCACCUGCUUAUAUUUCACUGAAG